rnacentral:tRNA from 1 species
GGAGGCGUAGCUCAGUUGGCAGAGCAGCUGACUCUUAAUCAGCGGGUCCUCGGUUCGAGCCCGGGCGCCUCUA